UUUAAAACGUAUUGCUACACUUAUUUCUUUUCUUAUCGUAUUUUAUGACAUCUUUCAACAUUUUAUUGUUUAUAUUUAGAGGUCAAUGUUUUCGGUUUAAUAUCACAUGCUUUGUGAGUCAUAUUGGAAAAACCCUCGCUCGGCAUCAAAUUGUCUGAGGAUUAAAACUAAUUGGAUAUAAUAUAUUAAUUGAAAACCAGUCUACCAUGUGCAGCGAUACCAUUACAUUUCUAUGGAAAAAUGAAUGCGUACAUAGCAACAACUAUUUUUGCUGAACUGAAAGAGAUCCUACAGGGGUGUUGCAGAUAUUCUUCAAGGUGCUCUAAAAUCUGUGCCGCAUCUGGAACAGCCGUUCUUCUACCGAUUGCCUUUUGGCUCCAAUUUGCAGCUACAAUUACUGAUGAGUGGAUGCUGGUAACUAGCACAUCACUAGAUGAAAAUAAUUACUUUGGAUGUUUUACUUCGGCGUAUGAAGACAGCAGGUGUUUAUGUGUGCUCGAGAUAACGUCCAAUGUGAUUCUGUUUUUGCUGAUGAUUAUUGGGUUUGGAGUGUGCUGCCGAACUUGCUGUCACAGUAUAACUCUCAAUUCUUGUAAAGUAUGCUUUGUGUGUAUCAUCUCGUUGAUAAGUCUGAUACCAGGUAAGUUAAAGUUAGGCACUAGCUUAGUAAGAUCUGAUACCUACUUUAUGUGAAAAUGAUUUUCGAAACAAUAAAUGCUUAAUUACAAAAUUUCGAAAUAGCAUAUCAAAAAUGUUCGCCAAACAAUGCACAAGACACAGCUUUAAGGUCAAUAUCGAAUCACACAGGGUGUAUUCUGU
rnacentral:lncRNA from 1 species